AACGAACGCUGGCGGCAUGCCUAACACAUGCAAGUCGAACGAGACCUUCGGGUCUAGUGGCGCACGGGUGCGUAACGCGUUGGAACCUUCCCUUAGGUUCGGAAUAACUCCCCGAAAGGGGUGCUAAUACCGGAUAAUGUCUUCGGACCAAAGAUUUAUCGCCUUUGGUUGGGCCCGCGUUUGAUUAGCUAGUUGGUAGGGUAAAAGCCUACAAAGGCGACGAUCCAUAGCUGGUCUGCGAGGAUGAUCAGCCACACUGGGACUGAGACACGGCCCAGACACCGAAGGGAGGAAGCAGUGGGGAAUAUAGGACAAUGGGCGAAAGCAUGAACCAGCAAUGCCGCGUGAGUGAUGAAGGACUUAGGGAUGUAAAGCUCUUUUACACGGGAUGAUAAUGACAGAACAGGGAGAAUAAGCUCCGGCAAACUCCGU
rnacentral:rRNA from 1 species